AUCCAGCUGACGAGUCUCAAAUGGGACGAAACACACACCCUGGAU
rfam:Schistosoma haematobium scaffold528_12, whole genome shotgun sequence.